rnacentral:rRNA from 1 species
AGAGUUUGAUUCUGGCUCAGAACGAACGCUGGCGGCGUGGAUAAGACAUGCAAGUCGAACGAGAGAAUUGCUAGCUUGCUAAUAAUUCUCUAGUGGCGCACGGGUGAGUAACACGUGAGUAACCUGCCCCCGAGAGCGGGAUAGCCCUGGGAAACUGGGAUUAAUACCGCAUAGAAUCGCAAGAUUAAAGCAGCAAUGCGCUUGGGGAUGGGCUCGCGGCCUAUUAGUUAGUUGGUGAGGUAACGGCUCACCAAGGCGAUGACGGGUAGCCGGUCUGAGAGGAUGUCCGGCCACACUGGAACUGAGACACGGUCCAGACACCUACGGGUGGCAGCAGUCGAGAAUCAUUCACAAUGGGGGAAACCCUGAUGGUGCGACGCCGCGUGGGGGAAUGAAGGUCUUCGGAUUGUAAACCCCUGUCAUGUGGGAGCAAAUUAAAAAGAUAGUACCACAAGAGGAAGAGACGGCUAACUCUGUGCCAGCAGCCGCGGUAAUACAGAGGUCUCAAGCGUUGUUCGGAAUCACUGGGCGUAAAGCGUGCGUAGGCUGUUUCGUAAGUCGUGUGUGAAAGGCGCGGGCUCAACCCGCGGACGGCACAUGAUACUGCGAGACUAGAGUAAUGGAGGGGGAACCGGAAUUCUCGGUGUAGCAGUGAAAUGCGUAGAUAUCGAGAGGAACACUCGUGGCGAAGGCGGGUUCCUGGACAUUAACUGACGCUGAGGCACGAAGGCCAGGGGAGCGAAAGGGAUUAGAUACCCCUGUAGUCCUGGCAGUAAACGGUGCACGCUUGGUGUGCGGGGAAUCGACCCCCUGCGUGCCGGAGCUAACGCGUUAAGCGUGCCGCCUGGGGAGUACGGUCGCAAGAUUAAAACUCAAAGAAAUUGACGGGGACCCGCACAAGCGGUGGAGUAUGUGGCUUAAUUCGAUGCAACGCGAAGAACCUUACCUGGGCUUGACAUGUAAUGAACAACAUGUGAAAGCAUGCGACUCUUCGGAGGCGUUACACAGGUGCUGCAUGGCCGUCGUCAGCUCGUGUCGUGAGAUGUUUGGGUAAGUCCAGCAA